rnacentral:rRNA from 1 species
UACGUAGGGGGCUAGCGUUGUCCGGAAUCAUUGGGCGUAAAGAGCGUGUAGGCGGUCCGGUAAGUCCGCUGUGAAAGUCGAGGGCUCAACCCUCGAAUGCCGGCGGAUACUGUCGGGCUAGAGUCCGGAAGAGGCGAGUGGAAUUCCUGGUGUAGCGGUGAAAUGCGCAGAUAUCAGGAGGAACACCGGUGGCGAAGGCGGGUCUCUGGGCCGAUAUUGACGCUGAGGAGCGAAGGCGUGGGGAGCGAACGGGG